UGGGCUUCCCGCUAGGGGCUCGGUCUGCCGGGGCGCAGGGCAGGGAGGAGAGCUCGAGGCGCCGCUGUCCGGAGCGUUUCACCUCUCCCAGCCCAGCAGCCCCGGGCCGAGGGCAGGGAAAGGCAAGGAGGAAGGGAAGGAAGGAGCAAAGGCGGCUGAUGUUCCCUGCCAGAGGCUGACAGCCCGCGGCCGUGGCUGGCUACUUUAAUCCCUGGGAUUGUUGACCUGGGAUCAUACAUAAAUACAUAACCAUUUAGGUGUCCAUGGAAAGAGCUAGACCAACAUGACUACAAACAGUUUUCCUUCAUAAUUAUACAAAUGUCAAAGGCAUCUCCACCCCAGAGCGAGAGUUACUUCACAAUUGCACUGACAGCUGACCUCCAGGACCAUGUGGGAAGGCUGGAUCCUCACUGUACUGCAAUCAGCUCUUUGGAUCUUGAGAAACUGAG